UCACCUAUGUACAUCUGCCCCUGCUCACCGCGUACGUCACCGUCUUCUCCUCUUCGCCGCCGUCCUUGUUCUGAUCCAAAAGCUCCUUCACUGGAACGCUAACCUCUCCGACGGGCUUAUCGCCGGCGAUGGGACGAUCAGCCACGAUCUCGAUGACUAAGAACCGAGCCUUCACAUGGAGGUAGAGGGAGAAGAUGAGUUCAGGGAAGAGUAUGCUUGCCCCUUCUGCUCAGACUAUUUCUGAUAUCGUCUCUCUCUGCUGCCACAUAGACGAAGAUCAUCCCAUGGACACUAUCAAUGGGAUAACUUCUUGGGGUUUGAGGAGGUGGUCUUCUUAUUCCCUGGAGGAUGGCCGGAGUCUCGAGAGAUUGUCGGAUUCUAACAAGUGAAUACUCUCCUUCUCUUCUCCUCUCUUACCGUAUGUUUUGGCCAUGUUUGUUUCUUCAUUUAGAUGAAUCCAUUCAGCUGAUCCAUUUAUGUGCUCCAUCUAAAUGAUCCAUUCAAAUUUUUGGUCAUGUUUGUUUCUCCAUUUGGAUGAGUCAUUUGAAUGAACCAUUUGAAUGAAUUUUAUGUUUGUUUCUCCAUUUAGAUGAAUCAUUCAAAUGAGUUUAAUAACCAAAUUACAUAUAU